GGGCUUGACAUCCCACGAACCUGCCUGAAAGGGCGGGGUGCCCGCAAGGGAGCGUGGAGACAGGUGGUGCAUGGCUGUCGUCAGCUCGUGUCGUGAGAUGUUGGGUUAAGUCCCGCAACGAGCGCAACCCUCACCCCUAGUUGCCACCGGGUAAAGCCGAGCACUCGAGGGGAACUGCCAGCGUCAAGCUGGAGGAAGGCGGGGAUGACGUCAAGUCAUCAUGCCCCUUACGCCCUGGGCUACACACGUGCUACAAUGGCCGGUACAAAGGGACGCGAGACUGCGAGGUGGAGCCAAUCCCAAAAAACUGGUCUAAGUUCAGAUUGCAGUCUGCAACUCGACUGCAUGAAGGAGGAAUCGCUAGUAAUCGCGCAUCAGCACGGCGCGGUGAAUACGUUCCCGGGCCUUGUACACACCGCCCGUCACACCACGAAAGCUGUCUGUACUCGAAGUCGCUGAG
rnacentral:rRNA from 1 species